rnacentral:rRNA from 1 species
GAUGAACGCUGGCGGCGUGCCUAGUACAUGCAAGUCGAGCGAACGGACGAGAAGCUUGCUUCUCUGAUGUUAGCGGCGGACGGGUGAGUAACACGUGGAUAACCUACCUAUAAGACUGGGAUAACUUCGGGAAACCGGAGCUAAUACCGGAUAAUAUUUUGAACCGCAUGGUUCAAAAGUGAAAGACGGUCUUGCUGUCACUUAUAGAUGGAUCCGCGCUGCAUUAGCUAGUUGGUAAGGUAACGGCUUACCAAGGCAACGAUGCAUAGCCGACCUGAGAGGGUGAUCGGCCACACUGGAACUGAGACACGGUCCAGACUCCUACGGGAGGCAGCAGUAGGGAAUCUUCCGCAAUGGGCGAAAGCCUGACGGAGCAACGCCGCGUGAGUGAUGAAGGUCUUCGGAUCGUAAAACUCUGUUAUUAGGGAAGAACAUAUGUGUAAGUAACUGUGCACAUCUUGACGGUACCUAAUCAGAAAGCCACGGCUAACUACGUGCCAGCAGCCGCGGUAAUACGUAGGUGGCAAGCGUUAUCCGGAAUUAUUGGGCGUAAAGCGCGCGUAGGCGGUUUUUUAAGUCUGAUGUGAAAGCCCACGGCUCAACCGUGGAGGGUCAUUGGAAACUGGAAAACUUGAGUGCAGAAGAGGAAAGUGGAAUUCCAUGUGUAGCGGUGAAAUGCGCAGAGAUAUGGAGGAACACCAGUGGCGAAGGCGACUUUCUGGUCUGUAACUGACGCUGAUGUGCGAAAGCGUGGGGAUCAAACAGGAUUAGAUACCCUGGUAGUCCACGCCGUAAACGAUGAGUGCUAAGUGUUAGGGGGUUUCCGCCCCUUAGUGCUGCAGCUAACGCAUUAAGCACUCCGCCUGGGGAGUACGACCGCAAGGUUGAAACUCAAAGGAAUUGACGGGGACCCGCACAAGCGGUGGAGCAUGUGGUUUAAUUCGAAGCAACGCGAAGAACCUUACCAAAUCUUGACAUCCUUUGACAACUCUAGAGAUAGAGCCUUCCCCUUCGGGGGACAAAGUGACAGGUGGUGCAUGGUUGUCGUCAGCUCGUGUCGUGAGAUGUUGGGUUAAGUCCCGCAACGAGCGCAACCCUUAAGCUUAGUUGCCAUCAUUAAGUUGGGCACUCUAAGUUGACUGCCGGUGACAAACCGGAGGAAGGUGGGGAUGACGUCAAAUCAUCAUGCCCCUUAUGAUUUGGGCUACACACGUGCUACAAUGGACAAUACAAAGGGCAGCGAAACCGCGAGGUCAAGCAAAUCCCAUAAAGUUGUUCUCAGUUCGGAUUGUAGUCUGCAACUCGACUACAUGAAGCUGGAAUCGCUAGUAAUCGUAGAUCAGCAUGCUACGGUGAAUACGUUCUCGGGUCU